rnacentral:lncRNA from 1 species
UUAGCAAACUCAUUACUUAACAGGAGCAAGCAUUUUACUCUUUAAACACUAAACAAGCCUUUAAAGCAUCCUGGGACAGAUUCAACUAAUUAUAUUUAGCAAUCACACAUUAUCCUCAGGUUUUUCAAUCAAUACACAUCACACUAACCAGGCAAUAACACAACACAAGCUCAUUAUCAAGAAGGUUUUAAAGAAUCGCUUACACAAGGAACCAGGUUGGUUCCUUAAGCCUCCAAAGGCAAUCUGGCCAUGAUAUGGUUGGAUUCAAGAGUCUAGGUCGUCACCCAACUCCUUCUCCUUCAGUCCAUGGCCUCCUUCUUGU